rnacentral:rRNA from 1 species
AGUCGAGCGAGCUGCCUUGAAGAUCGGAGNNNUUGCACUCUGUGAAACAAGAUACAGGCUAGCGGCGGACGGGUGAGUAACACGUGGGUAACCUGCCCAAGAGAUCGGGAUAACACCUGGAAACAGAUGCUAAUACCGGAUAACAACAGAUGAUGCCUAUCAACUGUUUAAAAGAUGGUUCUGCUAUCACUCUUGGAUGGACCUGCGGUGCAUUAGCUAGUUGGUAGGGUAACGGCCUACCAAGGCGAUGAUGCAUAGCCGAGUUGAGAGACUGAUCGGCCACAUUGGGACUGAGACACGGCCCAAACUCCUACGGGAGGCAGCAGUAGGGAAUCUUCCACAAUGGACGCAAGUCUGAUGGAGCAACGCCGCGUGAGUGAAGAAGGGUUUCGGCUCGUAAAGCUCUGUUGUUGGUGAAGAAGGACAGGGGUAGUAACUGACCUUUGUUUGACGGUAAUCAAUUAGAAAGUCACGGCUAACUACGUGCCAGCAGCCGCGGUAAUACGUAGAUGGCAAGCGUUGUCCGGAUUUAUUGGGCGUAAAGCGAGUGCAGGCGGUUCGAUAAGUCUGAUGUGAAAGCCUUCGGCUCAACCGGAGAAUUGCAUCAGAAACUGUCGAGCUUGAGUACAGAAGAGGAGAGUGGAACUCCAUGUGUAGCGGUGAAAUGCGUAGAUAUAUGGAAGAACACCGGUGGCGAAGGCGGCUCUCUGGUCUGUUACUGACGCU